rnacentral:tRNA from 1 species
GUGCUUGUGGUGUAGUGGUUAUCACAUCCGCCUAACACGCGGAAGGUCCCAGGUUCAAUUCCUGGCAGGCACA